GUGCGAUCCGAGUCCGUGGGAGCCUCCCCAGCUCCGCAGUCCCAGCAGCAAACCGAGCUAGGUCGGACGGAUGCUCGCGCUGAGCUGAGCGGAGUACCCGGGGGAGUAGGUUUCACUGCAUGGACUCUUCGGGUCAGGUCUGACGGUCACGUGCAUUCGUCUGGCCUUCUCCUGGAGCGCCUGUUCCAGAUCCGCCGGCAGAGGGAGUCCCGGGCCAGGGAGGAGCGCCUUUGGAUACCUCUCCCGAUUUCCGGUCGCCACACUGUGGGGCUCGGUGGUUCAGAUACACACUGGACUCCCGCGUGUCCCAAACUGGCAAAGUCGCAAGGAGAGAGCCACAGAUACGCGGGGCUGAAGGCGCUGGACCGUGCAGCACUACAGCCGGGAAGUUGGACUUGCGGGUGGAGCAGUGAGUUGCCGUUUCUGGAACAAACGCUGACCUGGAGGCCGGACUUCAUGAGAGCGAGGGACCCAAGUUUGGGUCCUGCAGGGGCUUGGGCUCCGGAAGCCCAGUUGGUGGUGACCUACGCUGAUGACCUACGCUGAUGACCUACGCUGAUGGGGGGCCGCGGUGCGCGCUGCUUCUCCGCUGCGCCCUCAGCACCCAGCCCGAAGUAGGCACCCAGUACUUCUCGCUUAAAGUCGUGGGGAAACUCUGGCCUGGAGGCGUGGGCGCAAGGACCUCCUUCAGGGCAGUUAGAAAGUGAAAACCAUACACUUCCCCCAGUCAUUCACGCCACCUCUGCGCAGAACUGGGAAGAAGUAAAACCUGAGCCUCCUUGGCACAAGGCAGGGUGCCAUGUGGUAUCUGGCCUUGACCGUGACAUUCUUGAUUCCGUUUUCUGCCGCGCUGUUUUCUCCACCACUACCCUGCGGUGGCGGGUCGGAAGCUGAGAGAAGAGCUAAUUUGGGAAACCUGGUAUGUGUAUGUAUAUUAUGUACGUAAUAGUUGUUUUCAUAGAUAUAUAAAAAUAUCAGAGCUGUCGACAAUCCAUCACUGAGGCUAAUUAAAAACCAGUUUGAGUCUCGGUUUGAAAAUGCAGAAAUCAGAAAGACGUU
rnacentral:lncRNA from 1 species